GUAAAUGCUGAAGUAUUUUCGGACUCCCCAAAGCUCAUGAGGAGGUUCUGCUGUGUCAAAAGAGGCCUUGUAAUGACAAUUCUGCCAACACCAAGAUGUGUGGUCGGGCGCAGGGCUCCCAUUGGCUCAUAUAAAGCAGCUCUCCUUGUAACCUUCCUUGAGGAGUUAGAUCAGCCUGACUGAGGAAUUGUUCGCUCAUGGAGGUGGAAGGUGUACGAUAGAUGCCCUCGCCAACAAGUAACCCGUUUCCAGGCCUGGAUGACGCAUGCAACAACAUCACGCCGGACCAGUGUCAGGCCUGGAUUCCAGGAUGUUUGGCUGAUGAAAACAUCCAUUGUGAUGUGGAUCAGAACCUGUGGCCAGAUCCACAAGACCGGGUUAAUGAAAAUGUAAACGUGUGGUAAUAAAACCUUUUUUUCGGUCCCAGGUGAGGAACAGAGCUAAUUACUCAGAGCUAAUCUUUGGUUUGAUUCAAAUAAACCUACGUUGGGAUUUUAUUGCAUUUCAUAACAGUCAAAUUUUGUGCAAUGAUUCCGCUAUGUGUACUCUUCUUUCUACUACAGCAGUACUUUUACAGGGAUGUAUUUACAUUCUGUCAGGAACCGGUGUAGGCAGAGACAGGACUCAAAAAAAAAAAGACUUCCAGAAAUCCAAAAAUGUCCAGGGGCAAAAGCGCAGGCAGGGACCAGGAACAAGACACCACAGGAUCCACAAACAUGCAGACACUACAUCUGACAUUCAACAAUGACACGACAAGGGACAAGAGACACACAGGGCUUAAUUACUUUGGGAAGGUGCAGGUGAUUGGACACAGGUGGAAACAAUCAGACAAUCACAGGGGAUGACGGACCAGGCAUUUUGUACAGCAGUGUUGAAUGAUUGUACAAACAAC
ensembl:lncRNA